CUCGUAGGCGGUUCGUCGCGUCCGGUGUGAAAGUCCAUCGCUUAACGGUGGAUCCGCGCCGGGUACGGGCGGGCUUGAGUGCGGUAGGGGAGACUGGAAUUCCCGGUGUAACGGUGGAAUGUGUAGAUAUCGGGAAGAACACCAAUGGCGAAGGCGACCUACUGGGCACCAACUGACGCUGAGGCUCGAAAGCAUGGGUAGCAAACA
rnacentral:rRNA from 1 species